UGUAAAAAAACAGAACAAACAGUGGCCAAUAUUUGCUGAAAAAGAAAGGAAAAGAAAGUUAACUUUAAUUUCUCUGUAGCAAUUACUUCCUUUCGCACAUCCUAUUAUACAAGCUGUAAGGUACAAGCAUACCUUUAUUCCCCAUCCAGCCUUAUUUAGCAAAGGUACAUACCUACCACUGAUCACUACAAAGCAUAAUAAGAACUUUAUUGAAUUAAGCAAGCCAGUGGAUUACUAACCAGAUUUAUUUAACCACAGGUGAUCAUCAGCAAGGACAGUGAAUUCCACAGUUAAGGUGGCUCUACCACUGAGAACACUUAGCUAAGCAUGCCAGAUGUGAACCAUUUCCACUGACUUCAAUAGCAAUGCUGAAGCCAAGCUGGGAGGAGCUUCUCAAAUUUAACCAGGGGGCCUCAAGCCAGGAAGAGAAGCAGAUUUUACAAGCCCACAAUAUGCUUCUUUGCGCAGCAUGGUUAAUAAUGCCUUCCUUGAGAAAUGCUGCUUGUUCUGCUACAGUCUUCAUGUUUAGCAGUCAGGGACAAGUGCAGCACAAAUACUGAAGGCAGAGAAGAUGUGCGCGUUUACCAGCUAAUGAAAUAAGGUAUGUGCAUAGGCGUGCGCGUGUAUGUGCAGGGACACCCAAAGCGUAGAGCACCGGCCGGCCUGCUUCCUAUCUGCCCAGAAAAACAGCGCGCGUUACACAGACCGCUCCCGCCACAUCCGCUCCAGCGCCAGUGUGUGUCCGUGACACGGGGCCCCCGCAGCCCCCAGGAGGGGGAGGGAGACUGCCCAGCGGGACCCCGAACCGCACCACCCCCCGCACCUUUGAUGCCGGCCAUGGCGCCGCCGCCCGGUCCCGUCCCCACGAACCGCCCAGGCCGGAAGGAGGGAGACAACCGGACACCAGGCCCCGGAAGUACGCCACGCCCUCCACUUCCGGUCUCAGGACCAAGUACCCGGAAAUUGGGCGGAGGGGAAGGGAGUGGAGGGCGCGGCCCCGCAAUCCUUCGUCACGUGAUCCAAGCAGCGAUGACGGUAAGCGGAGGCGGUGCGACACCGUUUUAAAGGGCCAGUGACACUGCAGGGGGAGUCACCCAGCCCCAACGGGAGCUCGUCGGCUAAGAUCGGCUUCAGCGUAGUCACGCGGGACACCGCAUUUAAAGGCACAGGAGAGGCAAGGCUUUGUUGGGGGGCGUAGUGACGUCAGACAAGUUGGAAUGGCGUCAGGCAAGAAUGACAUCAGCCGGGAGUGAUGUCUGACUUCUGGAAGUUUGUCUGCCUCUGUCUCAACCUCGCAGUGGGUUCAAUCCAGGAGAUCACCUGUCCCUCUCCCCCCGCACCCCCCAAACCAGCCUUGUCUCGUUGCCGGAUCAUCCUGGACCCACAGGGGUGUAGGCCAUCUUCAAAUGGCCGUGUCUGAGUACAACACCUGCAGCCACGACCCAGAGAAACCUGAGGGUACCCAACCUGGGCACUGGGCCACACCAUGGCUUCCAGAUCUGGCACGGGCUAGAGAGAGCAGAGGGCUCUUGUUACCAAAAAAAGAGCAGUCACCAAGUGCAGGCCACUUCUCCGCAAACAUUCCCCUCUGCCUUCACAACAUCUUUAGAUGACUAACGUGCAUCAGGUUAAGACCGUACAGUCUGCAUUUGCUAGGUUCAUGGCCCAUCCUUUCCUCAAAGGCUCAGAGCAGCUCACAACAAACAAGCAACCUACUGACAAGAUUCCCCAAGUGACACCCCAAAACACAAGAACGCCAACUCCCUGCAUCCCCCCACCUACUGCUUUCCUACAUGAACCUCUGCAAAAGCAAACCCUGCCACCAACCCCAACACCGGCUCCCAACUUCCAUCUACAUACAGAGAAAAGACCCUGUAUCCUACUUCACCCACACCCACCUCAACCAAGGGAAAUCCCUUCACCUCCAUUAUCCCUUCCAAAACUUUUAGUGUCAGAUUUAAAGAAUCAGUGGGCACAUUUACAUGCACUCUUUAAUGUGCAGUAGCCUAUUUUACUGCGCAUUGAAAUGGCACAUAAAAAACCAUGCUAUUAGGCUAAUAUGCAGUAAAAUAGGCUACUGCUCAUUAAGUGUCACCUAAAAAGCAUGCGCUUGUGCUACUGUGUGUUAAGGCAGCCUUUUGCUCAUUAAUAUAGUGCCUCACAUUGGAGGUACUAAAUUUAAUGUGUAUUAGGAAAAGUACAUUAAUGCAUAUGUAGAUGCACCCAGUUCAACUAAACCACAAAGUUCAAAACUAAAGUACCUUGAGACCUGGCAGGUGAAGCUGCCCAUCCCCUACACCAGUUUCAGCCAAAUCUGGCCCCACUGUGGGAGGUCUUCCCUUACUAUGACAACACAAGCUCCCCUAGGGUUUUGUAGCCAGGGCACAAGGAAGCUCAGGUCACAGAGCAGGCAGAACUCUCUCUACCACAGCUUCCCCAACCAGGCUCUGAGAGCCCCAACUUCAUCUGCCUGCACAGGGAGCUUCAGCAUAGAUGCCUAGGGGAAAGAAAGUGGAGCAGGGCAGGAAAAGCAGAGGUGUGAGGAUGCACCAGGAGCAGGGUGCCUACAAAUCCUGAGAUGGGGUUGGGGAGGUUAGAAACAGGGCAAACAGGACCAGAGAGCAAGGCAUGUUACAGGAAAUUAUUUAAUAAUUAAUUGUUUCAUGAAUUAUUUAUUUCACUAAUUACCAGUAUAUUUACAGUAUAAGCUAUAUUGUAAUAAACAUGUUGGCUCAUUA